UGGGCAACCUGCCCCAGACUCUGGGAUAACUCCCCUAAAGAGGCGCUAAUACCGGAUACGAACCCUGCAGGCAUCUGCGGGGUUGGAAAGUUUUUCGGUCUGGGAUGGGCCCGCGGCCUAUCAGCUUGUUGGUGAGGUAAAGGCUCACCAAGGCGACGACGGG
rnacentral:rRNA from 1 species